rnacentral:rRNA from 1 species
UACGGAGGGUGCGAGCGUUGUCCGGAAUCACUGGGCGUAAAGGGCGCGUAGGCGGCCUGAUAAGUAGGGGGUGAAAUCCUGCGGCUUAACCGCAGGGCUGCCUUCUAAACUGUCAGGCUGGUGCACAGUAGAGGCAGGUGGAAUUCCCGGUGUAGCGGUGGAAUGCGUAGAGAUCGGGAAGAACAUCAGUGGCGAAGGCGGCCUGCUGGGCUGUUGCUGACGCUGAGGCGCGACAGCGUGGGGAGCAAACAGG